GGAAGAUACUGCCCAGGAGUGGCAUCUGGUGGGGCUGGCCGUGCUCCAGCUGAUCUAUGAAGCUGUUCACAGGAAAGAUGGAUUCAGUUCUUCUCUGGACAUGCAGCUGGAAUCACAGGGCUCAUCCAUCACCUCAGCUGCCAAAGGUUUCACAGCUGGACCGAAGAAUAAGAGUUCUCUGUUCAUGAGCUGGCUCUCCUGUGUCAAGUGUUUGCAGUCCUAUUCAACAGUGAGACUGGAGCUAAUCAAAUCAUCUGAGAAAAUUGCCAUGAGAUAAAAGACCAGGGGGAAAUUAUGCUCUCUUCUACCUCCUUCAGCUACUGAACAGGCUUUCUUUUCUGCGAUGAGACUGACCUGAUACUGAUGAUCAUGACCCACGUUGUUCAAGGUCUUGCCCGUGCAUCUGUCUCAGAUGAUAUCACUCUGUCAAUCAGCCUGAGUUCGUGGAAGUGGCAAAAAAUCUGCAGCACACCAACAGAAGCUUUUUUUUUGGGGUGCAUUUCUCUCUCUAUGGAAUCUUGACAAAUGCAGUUCAAUUACACAAUGUAAAGCAGACCAAAAUAUGCAUCAGCAAAGAAUCCUUCAUCACAUGGCCUUUAAUGAGCUUGCUUUAGCAGAAUAUCCUUUCUUCUGUGUCUGCUUCAGCUAAAUAUUCCUUCACGAGUCUGUCUUAGCCUUUCACCUAUGUCCACUUCAACUAAACAUUCCUUCAUGUGUUUGCCCCAGCAAAACAUCAUCCAACUGACUUUCCAAAGAACCCUUAAGUUACCACUUCACCCCACCACACCCAGCCUAAGCUGGAAAUUUCAGAAUCCUUUUUGAUGCUUCCACCCUCCCUAUUCAGGCAGUUUUAAGGUGUAGCUGUUGAUCAUUCUCAGUGUCUUCCUAUUGGCACAGCUACUAUGAUGGCCUCAUCAUUGCUCUUUUUGCUUGAUGCAUCUAUGUCUUCUGCCAUUUUUAUUUGUUUACUUCAAUAUACAAUAAUUAAUAUCAUUUCAUACCUACAUAGUGAGCUCCCUAGAAAACAAUUUAAGAAAAAAUUAUUAAAAAUUAAAAAU